rnacentral:rRNA from 1 species
GUGGGGAAUCUUGCGCAAUGGGCGAAAGCCUGACGCAGCCAUGCCGCGUGGAUGAUGAAGGUCUUAGGAUUGUAAAAUCCUUUCACCGGUGAAGAUAAUGACUGUAGCCGGAGAAGAAGCCCCGGCUAACUUCGUGCCAGCAGCCGCGGUAAUACGAAGGGGGCUAGCGUUGCUCGGAUUUACUGGGCGUAAAGGGCGCGUAGGCGGACAUUUAAGUCAGGGGUGAAAUCCCGGGGCUCAACCUCGGAACUGCCUUUGAUACUGGGUGUCUUGAGUAUGAGAGAGGUGUGUGGAACUCCGAGUGUAGAGGUGAAAUUCGUAGAUAUUCGGAAGAACACCAGUGGCGAAGGCGACACACUGGCUCAUUACUGACGCUGAGGUGCGAAAGCGUGGGGAGCAAACAGGAUUAGAUACCCCUGUAGUCC